rnacentral:rRNA from 1 species
CCUACGGGGGGCAGCAGUGAGGAAUAUUGGUCAAUGGCCGAGAGGCUGAACCAGCCAAGUCGCGUGAGGGAAGACGGCCCUACGGGUUGUAAACCUCUUUUGUCGGGGAGCAAAGCGAACCACGUGUGGUUCAUUGAGAGUACCCUAAGAAAAAGCAUCGGCUAACCCCGUGCCAGCAGCCGCGGUAAUACGGAGGAUGCGAGGGUUAUCCGGAUUUAUUGGGUUUAAAGGGUGCGCAGGCGGAGGUGCAAGUCAGCGGUCAAAUUGCGGGGCUCAACCCCGGACUGCCGUUGAAACUGCAUCCCUUGAGUGCGCGAGAAGUAUGCGGAAUGCGUGGUGUAGCGGUGAAAUGCAUAGAUAUCACGCAGAACUCCGAUUGCGAAGGCAGCAUACCGGCGCGCAACUGACGCUCAUGCACGAAAGCGUGGGUAUCGAACAGGAUUAGAUACCCGGGUAGUC